rnacentral:lncRNA from 1 species
AAGAAGGAAGUGUAAUGCAGUGGCCAGCAGCACGGGCGAAGGCGCAAGGACGGACGAAGGUCUGGGGUUCGAGCCUCACCUCACGUACAGAAGGCUUGGUUGUUUGCUGAACGAGUGGGGAAGGAGUUGGGGUCUGAUCAGGACUCCUGGCAGCAUGCUGAAGCGGUGCAAGGGGUGGAUAAGGAUGCUAAUAAUCGGUGGAAGAGUUUGAGCUGAUCAGGGGAUUGG